rnacentral:rRNA from 1 species
UACGGGGGGGGCAAGCGUUGUUCGGAAUUACUGGGCGUAAAGGGCCAGUAGGCGGCCAACUAAGUCCGACGUGAAAUCCCCAGGCUUAACCUGGGAACUGCGUCUGAUACUGGGUGGCUUGAGUUCGGGAGAGGAAUGUGGAAUUCCAGGUGUAGCGGUGAAAUGCGUAGAUAUCUGGAGGAACACCGGUGGCGAAGGCGGCAUUCUGGACCGAAACUGACGCUGAGGCGCGAAAGCCAGGGGAGCAAACGGG